rnacentral:rRNA from 1 species
GAUGAACGCUGGCGGCGUGCCUAAUACAUGCAGGUCGAGCGAACGGACGAGAAGCUUGCUUCUCUGAUGUUAGCGGCGGACGGGUGAGUAACACGUGGAUAGCCUACCUAUAAGACUGGGAUAACUUCGGGAAACCGGAGCUAAUACCGGAUAAUAUUUUGAACCGCAUGGUUCAAAAGUGAAAGACGGUCUUGCUGUCACUUAUAGAUGGAUCCGCGCUGCAUUAGCUAGUUGGUAAGGUAACGGCUUACCAAGGCAACGAUGCAUAGCCGACCUGAGAGGGUGAUCGGCCACACUGGAACUGAGACACGGUCCAGACUCCUACGGGAGGCAGCAGUAGGGAAUCUUCCGCAAUGGGCGAAAGCCUGACGGAGCAACGCCGCGUGAGUGAUGAAGGUCUUCGGAUCGUAAAACUCUGUUAUUAGGGAAGAACAUAUGUGUAAGUAACUGUGCACAUCUUGACGGUACCUAAUCAGAAAGCCACGGCUAACUACGUG